GAUGGCGAACCGCUUUCGUCAAUUUCGCCUUCUUCUUUGGAAGAAUUUCAUUUUACAGAUUCGAAGACCUAUUGGAACUGCAUUCGAAAUAUUGGUUCCCCUGGUUCUUAUUUUUGGUAUUCUUGUCUUGCCAAAAUGUGCCUGACAAAUAUUAUACCAUCCUGCCCUCUGGAAAAAGGAAAGCAAGCACGAAGAAAGAUGGUCAAUUUCCGGACCCCAUGUUUAGAAGCUAGACAUGAUAUUAUUUGUGCGAGUGGACAUGUACAUGAGAAUAAAUCUUCUUUUUAAAAGGAUCUUAGUAUUAUCUUACGAGAGUUUUAGAUGUACGCUUUGCUUACGGCGAACGCCAAUGAAUGUCAAAACUGAACACGUGAUCACUGUAUUUCAGUAUUAACGCUCCGUUCUUUCGCGAUUGUAAAUAAAACAAGAACCAUUUCGUGGAACAUACCGUGUCCAGGUUAUGUUAAGUGUAUAGAAUUUUGACGUGAAAUACAUAUUUUUACCAGUGCUGGCGCCUCGAUCGAUUUGAUAUAUUCUGCCUAUAAUCUUUUCACAUCUUUUAGAAGCUGCUCGAGUAGAGAAUCGAAACCGAGAUCGUCAGYUCAACGCCGCUAUUCAAGUAUGAUCUUGAGUGUAAAAUAAGUAAAAAACAAAUAUCUACAGGAAAAAAAAAAUAAACAUGACUACAAAAAGUAUAUUUCAGUAAAAAGAAAAGAAAGAAGAAAAGAAAAAAGAAUCGCUUAGAAGCGAUUGCGUCGAAAAUCGAAGCCGUGAGCCUAAAAGUGCGGGUGAAUACGUUUUAACAGACUUUAACAGACUCUGUGUAAAAUCAAAAUAACGGCUCGAAAAAAAUAAUUGUUGAURCAGAUAUCUACAGAAAAAAAUCAACAUGACUAUAAGACCCCUCUAUAAAAACUUCAUUUCAUUUAAAAAGAAAGAAAGAACAAAAUAUGAUCGAGUCGAGAUUCGAACCCGCGAUCYUCAG